rnacentral:sRNA from 1 species
AUUCCCUUUCCGGGCGGAAUCGCACAUAAUCUCCUCCCGGUUUGCACACCGGGAAUCCAGGAGAGUUCAUGUAC